rnacentral:lncRNA from 1 species
AUGUUUGCCCCAUGGAGCUCUAAAGGUUGCCCUAUGGAGCUCCAAGUGCUCACUCACGGGGCCCCAAGAAUUGCUCCAAGAAUUGCCCCACAGAGCCCCAAAGGUUGCCCCAAGAGUUGCCCUGUGGAGCUCCAAGUGUUGCCUCAUGGACCCCUAUGGGUUACCCCAUGGAGCCCCAAGGGUUGCUCUAAAACUUGCCAGACGUGUUGCCCCACGGAGCCCCAGGAGUUGCCCCAGGGGCUGCCCCACAGAGCCCCACGAGAGCUCCCCAGGCACUUCCAACCCCCAGCAGGAGGGCUGACAUACCGUGCUGCUGGUGGUCCCCGUGGCCACUGCCUGCUGGAAGUGCGCGGCCAGCCCGGCCUUGUCCUUGCACUGCUCCUUGCACUCCAGACACCUGAAGCAGCUGUAGUUGCUCUGCUCCGAGCCGCUGCUGCUCAGGGGCAGGAUGGGGAGCUCUGGGGCCCCGUUGGCUGCGCUCAGAGCGUCCUGAGUCACGCCGGCCACUUUGCCGGCAGGGAAGGAAGCCACGGAGACCAGCGGGGUGAUGUCCGGCUGCCCGAUCAUCUGAUCCAAGGCGAUGGGCCUCAUGACCAGGUGGGAGCACUGCAUCACCAGCCCCUUGUCCUUGUGCUCGCGGGCGUGCAGCAGCAGGCUGCACUUGUUGAAGAAGACGAGGCGUUUGGUGCAGUGGUUGCAGGUCACCUCGAUGCGCAUGCUGCGCCGGUCGUAGUGGCGAGCCAAACUCUUCUCCAGAGCGAAGGAAUCCCCGCACUCCAGGCACCGGUACCCGAAGGGCGGCAGCGCCAGGCUGGCAUCGGCCGGGGGGCUCAGGUUGGGUUUGUAGGUGGGCAGCAGAUUCUUGCUGUUGAGGAUCUUGUUGAAGGCCUCCACCAGGCUGGAUUGGCUCCGGGAAAUGACGGUGCCCGCGACGGUCGGGGAGGGCUUCUGCGGCUGCACCAUCACCACCGUGGUGCCGUUCAGCUUCUGGUUGGCCGUGGUGGUGAUGGCGGUGGUCUGCGUGACGGGGCUGGCGUUGGUCCUCGUGUCGGCCUUGGGCAGCGUCUGCGGCACCAGGUUGAUGAUGUUCUUGGCGACGGCUUUGCCCGUCUUGGCCGGCAGCACCACGGACUUCUGCUGUGCCACGCUGGCAGCGAUCAGCAUGGCGCUGCUGGCGCUCUGGAUGGUGGAGACGGGCAGCACGGUGCCUUUGAUCUUGGUGCCGUUGCCGAGUUGGACGCUGACAAUUUUGGGCCCCUCAAUGGCUUUCAAGGGGCUGGAGAGAUCCAUCUUGUCCCGGGACACCUCCAGUGCGAUGCCGUCCUCCUUCUCCGCCUCCAGAGCGGCGUCUUCGGAGCUCUGCUCGGCCGAACCCCUGGCAGAGCUGGGCUCUGA